CGUUGUGGUGGUUUUCUUUGUGGUACAUUUGUUAAGUUUUCAAAUGGCCCCUGACUCUGCCACAUAUAUUACACAGGAGCUGGCAAAGGCUUGAUGAGAAAGAGAUCUCUCUCUGGCUUUUCCCGUGUCAGAGAUUGGCUUCCACACGU
ensembl:snoRNA SNORA12 small nucleolar RNA SNORA12